rnacentral:rRNA from 1 species
CGUGUAGGCGGGAUGCCAAGUGGCGGGUGAAAGCCCCGAGCUCAACUCGGGAACGGCCUGGCAAACUGGUGUUCUUGAGGCAGGUAGAGGUGACUGGAACAACUGGUGGAGCGGUGAAAUGCGUAGAUAUCAGUUGGAACGCCAGCGGCGAAAGCGGGUCACUGGGCCUGUCCUGACGCUGAGACGCGAAAGCGUGGGGAGCGAACAGGAUUAGAUACCCUGGUAGUCC